ACGAGAAAGUCCCUUCGGGGCAAUGAGUAAAGUGGCGCACGGGUGAGUAACACGUAGGUAAUCUACCUUCGGGUGGGGAAUAACGCAGGGAAACUUGCGCUAACACCGCAUAAUGCAGCGGCACCAGAUGGUGACAGUUGUUAAAGCGGGGGAUUUUAGGACCUCGCGCCUGAAGAGGAGCCUGCGGCAGAUUAGCUAGUUGGUAAGGUAACGGCUUACCAAGGCGACGAUCUGUAACCGGCCUGAGAGGGCGGUCGGUCACACUGACACUGACAUACGGGUCAGACUCCUACGGGAGGCAGCAGUCGGGAAUUUUGGGCAAUGGGCGAAAGCCUGACCCAGCAACGCCGCGUGAAGGAUGAAAUCCCUCGGGAUGUAAACUUCGCAAGAAUGGGAAGAAUGAACGAGCGCUAACACCGUUCGUGAUGACGGUACCAUUUGUAAGCUCCGGCUAACUCCGUGCCAGCAGACGCGGUAAUACGGGGGGAGCAAGCGUUGUUCGGAUUUACUGG
rnacentral:rRNA from 1 species